GUGUUGUAUGAAAGGAGAGAAGGUUAGCACUCCCCUUGACAAGGAUGGAAGAGGCCCUUGGGCCUGACAACAAGAAGCACAGAAAAUUUCCACUAUCUAAAUUUCUUU
rnacentral:ncRNA from 1 species